GAAGAUUGGACAUCUGGGAUCUUAAAUUCCUGGUCCUUCAAGGACCUGUUGGAGGAACCAGAAGGUCCAGAGGGGAUUAACAAAGACAUUGCAGCCUGAGAGUUGGAGACUCUGUGUCUGAGGAGGAGGGCUAAGAGGACCAAAGAACGUGGACCAAAUUAGCCAGUUAAGGAUAGACUACUAAUUAGAGUCUUAAUUAAUGAAGAGAAUUCAUUAGUUCAUUAAUUGGGGUAAAUUAGAAGCAAUGAACAUGAAUUUGUUUGUUUGUUCAAAUGUAGAAAUGUGUGAAAAGUCUGGAAAGGGACAGGUGGGGCUGGAAUGAUUGGCUCCCUGUCUCUGGGAGCCAGAACAAAGCAGUGCCUGGCUCACCAACACUUCCCAGGGGCGUUGGAGGGUUUCAUUUCUUCCCAACGCUUUUCAGGGACAAUUCUUGGUGAGCCAGGUGGGACAAUGCUGUCGACCCUCCAGGGAUUCCGGGACCCUGAGGACUCCAGCGAGCAGUGAAAAUAUUCUUCUGGGAGAUCUCAGUCCCUGGAUCUGUGCCAAGGUGAGCCGGGAAGAACGUGAGGUGGUGAGAGCAGCCUGGGCUCACUGCCAAGGGACCGUGCGGCCGGGGCAGGGAAACAACCUGACAGGGGGAUGGGGACAACCAAGGGACUGCAGCAGCAAGCAAAGAUGGCCUGUGAAGGAAGAAAAGAGCGAGGCCUGGCAUGGGAGGAGCGAGGGAGUGGUUCUGCAAAUCGAAGGCUCUUAAAAGGGCUCGUCCCUCCCAUCCUGGGGGUGCUGGAACCUGGUCACGAGUUGGGUGCACCCAACGCUGUUAAUAAAGUUCUUUGUUUCACUUA